rnacentral:rRNA from 1 species
GUAACCUGCCUUAUAGUGGGGGAGUAGCCUUUCGAAAGGAAGAUUAAUACCGCAUAAGAUUGUAGUAUCGCAUGAUAUAGCAAUUAAAGGAGCAAUCCGCUAUAAGAUGGACCCGCGUCGCAUUAGCUAGUUGGUGAGGUGAUGGCUCACCAAGGCGACGAUGCGUAGCCGACCUGAGAGGGUGAUCGGCCACAUUGGGACUGAGACACGGCCCAGACUCCUACGGGAGGCAGCAUG